rnacentral:lncRNA from 1 species
GCCAGCAGACACGUGCCUUCUCAUAUGAUGGAGUGUGGUGACUCUUCUCUGCUGCUCUGUGUUUACACAGCCAACUCUCAGGCAGGAUUCUCAACUGGACCAUACAAUGUGAACAUGGCAGAGGUAAGGAUGCCUCAGGUGGAGAAGUCAUGUUAAGCAACUUGCAAUACCGGGGACUGAAGAAAGCUGAGAACCUGACAGCUCCAUGUUUCAAUUUGGAAAAUGAUAGAUGAAGAAGUUUCAACAUCGGGACCAUAAUUCAAUUCUCUCCUAACUACUGAUUACAAUUGUGGUGGAGAAAAAGGUGUUCCUGGAGAAAGAAAGAAGACCAGAUAUUAGAGUGGGAAAGAAAAGAACAUUGAAUUAAAACAAACGGUAACUAAAAUGGCAGAAAAAAAGCUUCAGGUAUCGUAAAAGCAGUUGAGUUCUUGAUUUGAUUCUCCACUUGAUCGCUGUUGGUGUACAGAAGAUCUACUAAUUUGCAUACAUUAAUUUUGUAUCUGGAAAAUUUGCUGAAUUCUUCUAUCAGUUCUAGGAGCGUUCUGGAGGAGUCUUUGGAUUUUGAGGAUGUCUCUGGCAGUGGAAUUGAAAAUAGAAAAAAAAAAGGUGUAGCAGGCUUUAAGAGGCAUGUGUAACACCACAGGUGAGAGGCGACUGUGACUUGAAGAGGUGGUAGUGCAAGUAAUAAGCAAAGCUCAUAUUGUUUACAUGUUUGUCCACUCCAAAUCUCAUGUUGAAGAGCAAUCCCCGAUGCUGGAGGUGGGACCUGGUGGGAAGUCUUUGAGUCACGGUGGCAGAUCUCUCAUAAAAGUCUUGGUGCCAAGUCAAAGUAAUGAAUUUACCCAUAUUUCAAAUAAAAAAAAUUUUGCUGUUG